UUCAUUGGAAAGCAUAGCAUCCUGGUUGCUUAUGCCCUGCCCAGCCAUGAGUCUAAAGUGAUUUUAUGCACUCCUCAGGUGAAGUGGGGGUUGCCAUGAUGCAUGAAAACUAGCCUGUGGGGGGGGGGCGGGGGGUGGAGAAAUUGCUCUGAGUUUCCUUUUCUCAGAAAUAUUUUUUCCCCUUUUCUCUUCCCUCUGAGUGAACACAGUUUAAUAUUUUCUUACUACCUAUUCCGUACCAUUUCUACUCACCUCUGAGCUCCCUCCCAAAGCGGCUUCCCGAUUCAAAACACAAAAAUACGCUGAGAAGCAAUGAGAUAAAAAAACCAAAUGCAUCAAUUAAAUCAUUAAAACAGCUGGGCCCAUUUAAAAAUGCAUUGCCUCAGCAGGUGCUUAAAACAGAUUAAGGAUAUUGAGGAAAGAAAAAGAAGAAAAGUAUUUGCUGCUCUAAGAACAUAUGAAGAGCCUGCUGCCUCAGGCCAAUGGACCUUCUAGUCCAGAAUCCUGUUCUCACAGUGGCAAGCCAUAUGCCUGUGGGAAGCCAGAAAGCAGAAGAGCACUCUUCCUUCCUGUGGUUUCCUCCUCUGGUAUUCAGGAGCUUUGCUGCCUCCAGCUGUGGAGACAGAGCAACACCAUUGUCUACCAGCUCCAUCUGGUACGCCGGCUGGGACCCUACCUGCCCGCAGACUGUCUUGCCAGAGUGGUGCAUGCUCUGGUUAUCUCCCGCUUGGACUACUGCAAUGCGCUCUACGUGGGGCUACCUUUGAAGGUGACCUGGAAACUGCAACUAAUCCAGAAUGCGGCAGCCAGACUGGUGACUGGGAGUGGCCGCUGAGACCACAUAACAAUGGUCCUGAAAGACCUACAUAGCCUCCCGGUACAUUUCCGAGCACAAUUCAAAGUGUUGGUACUGACCUUGAAAGCCCUAAAUGGCCUCGGCCCGGUAUACCUGAAGGAGCAUCUCCACCCCCAUUGUUCAGCCCGGACAUUGAGGUCCAGUUCCGAGGGCCUUCUGGCGGUUCCCUCCCUGUGAGAAGUGAGGUUACAGGGAACCAGGCAGAGGGCCUUCUCGAUAGUGGCGCCCACCCUGUGGAACACCCUCCCAUCAGAUAUCAAGGAAAUAAACAACUAUCUGACUUUUAGAAGACAUUUGAAGGCAGCCCUGUUUAGGGAAGUUUCUAAUGUUUGAUGUUUUAUUGUGUUUUUAAUAUUCUGUUGGGAGCCUCCUAGAGUGGUUGGGGAUACCCAGCCAGAUGGAAGGGGGAAUAAAUAAUAAAUGAUGAUGAUGAUGGCUGGUAGUCAUUGAUAGUCCUCUCCUCCAUGAAUUUGUCUAACCCUCUUUUAAAGCUAUCCAGGUUGUUUUCCAUCACUGCCUCCUAUGCCGUUUUAAAGAUGAAAACAGAAGGACGCUAAACAAUCGUUUUCGGGUUUGAGCUCCACAAUCUGGAUGCUGCUACUACUCUCCAAGACCACCUCUAAAGAUGACAUAACAUUGGAGCAGGAUCUCAAAUGUUGAACGCAAAGCAACCAGGUUCAUUUGAGAGAAGGCAGUCCUUCAGCUGACCACGCCCCAAACUUUUUUGGGGUUCAUAUGUAAUAACCAAGACUUUGGACUGGAAGUUAGCACAAAUGAAAAAGAACUGGUGUGUUAUGUUCUGAGAAGGGAACUCUGGAACUACGCUGACUGCCGCAUUUUGCACCAGUUGGAGUUUCUUCAAGGCGAUCCCUUUCAGUAGUCUAAAUUGGCUCAUCUUUGGCCCAUAGCUCUGCCCUGUUUCAGUCAUUUUGCUGCCUAUCUGUCAUCCCAGUGGUUUAUCUGAGCUCCCCUCAGCCUAGAACAGGCAUUCUACCAAAUCGUACAGCUCCUCAAUUGCACUCUCAAUGGAGCAAAUUAGUGGUAAUGAAAAUCAGGAUGAAAAUGCUUAGGGAUGGAAAGUCCAUCAAAACAACUCUGUAAUCUUCCUUCUGCGUCUGCU
rnacentral:lncRNA from 1 species